GCCCCCGUAGCUCAGCUGGACAGAGCAGCGCAGUCCUAGUGCGCGGGCCGGCGGUUCGAAUCCGUCCGGGGGCA
rnacentral:tRNA from 1 species